rnacentral:rRNA from 1 species
AACCUGCCGCUUACUCGGGGAUAGCCUUUCGAAAGAAAGAUUAAUACCCGAUGGUAUAAAGAGUUCGCAUGUUCUCUUUAUUAAAGAAUUUCGGUAAGCGAUGGGGAUGCGUUCCAUUAGAUUGUUGGCGGGGUAACGGCCCACCAAGUCUACGAUGGAUAGGGGUUCUGAGAGGAAGGUCCCCCACAUUGGAACUGAGACACGGUCCAAACUCCUACGGGAGGCAGCAGUGAGGAAUAUUGGUCAAUGGACGCGAGUCUGAACCAGCCAAGUAGCGUGAAGGAUGACUGCCCUAUGGGUUGUAAACUUCUUUUAUAAGGGAAUAAAGUGAGGGACGUGUCCCUUUUUGUAUGUACCUUAUGAAUAAGGAUCGGCUAACUCCGUGCCAGCAGCCGCGGUAAUACGGAGGAUCCAAGCGUUAUCCGGAUUUAUUGGGUUUAAAGGGAGCGUAGGUUGACGUAUAAGUCAGCUGUGAAAGUUUACGGCUCAACCGUGAAAUUGCAGUUGAUACUGUAUGUCUUGAGUGUACAAGAGGUGGGCGGAAUUCGUGGUGUAGCGGUGAAAUGCUUAGAUAUCACGAAGAACUCCGAUUG